CAGUGGGGAAUUUUCCGCAAUGGGCGAAAGCCUGACGGAGCAAUGCCGCGUGGAGGUGGAAGGCCUACGGGUCGUCAACUUCUUUUCUCGGAGAAGAAACAAUGACGGUAUCUGAGGAAUAAGCAUCGGCUAACUCUGNGCCAG
rnacentral:rRNA from 1 species